ensembl:lncRNA ADARB2-AS1 ADARB2 antisense RNA 1
GCCGGAUGACAUGAAGCAGCUGUUCCCGCCUCCUCCUGGCACCUCCCUGACUCACGCACUUGGUGCGUGGAGGGGUCGUGAGCGGGCACAGGCAGCCACUUCGCUGCUUGCCUCAUCAGCCUCACAGUUCCCCACAGAUGAUCCCUGCAUUAGUUGGCGGAGCUGAUGGUGUUCCCUGUUUUACCCUGUGGUCUCAUUUCCGGAUGCUGCUACCAAUGCCCGUCUCUAUGGCUCCCUGCCCACGUGUGCAGCCCCGUCACUGAGAGGGAAGUGGCUGGAGAGGUGUCCAGAUCAUUGUGAAUGAAGUCAUCUGUGAAACCAUGGGAGAGAGAUUUGAUAUCUGCUUCCCUUUCAAAUGAAAGGAAAAGAGUGGGGUGAGAGAGGGCGGCACUCCCCAGACAGGCCCUGACCACACCCUGGCCCCACGCCUCAGCAGAACAACUCUGAACCUCUAUGGACUCACAGGGGCGAGGUCGGGGCAAGGAGACUCAGGGCCUGCGCUGCUCACCGGGUGAGAAGUCACAGCUGGUUAGGAGGCCACAGACGGCAAUGUCGCUGAUGGCGAGAUUCCGGGCCAUCCAUUUAUCCUGUGUGGAGGCUGACAGGGACGCAUGCCUCAUCUGCU